ACGCUAUUUAUGGCGUUGUAUGUUAUACGGAAAAGUAGUAAUGGUUACCGUAUACUCUAUUUUAUAGGUGGUUAUAAUUAGUCACCGGAAAUUUUAACCAGAAGCUUAUAAAACUAAAAAGGAGGGAUAUGAUAUAAUGGUUGUCUAAGUUUUUCAGAAUUUCCCAUACCAUAGGAAUUAUUUGGUAGUAUCAUUCCGCAGUAAUGUGCUUUAAUAAAGCACGAUCAAAACUACCAAAUUAUUCCAGUUUGAAAGUAUAAAUAAAUCAAAUUUCAAUAAAAGAUGGUUACAUAACAUAGUGUUUAGCAUGAGUGUUAGGUUACGUAAUUGGACGGAAUAAUGAUCUACUUAGUCUUUUAGAAAACCAUUUAAAAAUGAUAAACAUGCAAUUUCUGAAGAAUUUAGUUCUUAGGAAUGCAAUAAAUUAUUAAUUAGACGAAGUAAUAUUUCAAUUCAUAAUUUUUUCGCAUGAUUUGAGCGUCAUAUUUUUUUCUUUUGAAUAUUUUACAUCAGAGAAGAAAUUGUCUUCGGAAGGCUAUAAACAUGAGCCAUAUUAUAUGACUGAUUAUAAAUGUGACUGAUCCUUUUUAAAUCAAAUCUUGAUUUUAAUAGGACUAGACGUAUGUAUGUACAUAUGUAGCCAUACAUGCAUAUGUGACCUUGCGACUGCACACAUCGCUCCUAACAAUUAAACUGUGUAUCAAAUAAUGAAGGGACUAAAUGUCAUUGAAUUGCAGAAUAACAAUGAGUAUUUUUCACAACUGUACACGAUGAAUAUGUGCGAAUUGACAUAUACAUAUUUAGUUCCUGGAGUGCGAUAUGUGAUAUGCAAUGUCAUAUGUACAAAGGAGCUACAUUUGGUAAUUUUGUAUUCAUUUAUUCUCAGGAUUUAUAUAGAUUUUAAUGCAUGCAGACACAUUUUUAUUUAUUUUGUAGACACAGAAAUAGAAACAGGUUGACAUAAUGUUUGAGUUCAUUUGCUUUAUGUAAUUUUAUGAUUAUGACCAUAUUCUUAUUUAUCAUUCAUUGUGUAUGUAAUUCAGAUUUUGACUGUAGUUGACCAUUUUCUCAACUUUGCCAGCCAAUGCGCUCAGUUUAAUUUGCCUAUCUAUCAGCAGUUCAAUUCUCUUUUCCAGUCCAAAUCAUUCACUCUGCUCAAGUUUAUUUUUACUUUUGUCCUUUUUGUAAUAUUCCAUUACCUUGAGCAGUCUCCUAUAAAAGGAGGUCAUUUCUCCCUCCUCGCUGUCAUUCUCUUUUUGUACGUACCUUGACCACGUCACUUUGUCACUCAAGUCCACAAGUCUCAAUUUCGCCCCAAUUUGUACAUCAAUAUAUUUUUAACUGAAGUAAAUGUGACUAUUUUGAUUGUGAUAACUUGUGCUCAUCAUCACGACUGAUUCUCAUCUCCAACACUCAUCCACCACUCAUUCAUCCCCUGCUUCCACGGUCACCUACGGCAACAUUUCCAUCCAACGAGUUCAUUCACACAAAUCCCCACACAUAAUGAGAUGAAAUACGUAUGUACUAUGCACUAGAGAAUAGGAAUGGGUAUACGAUUCUAAGUAUGUAGUAAUAGACAGAUUUUCUAAUUGAACAAGGUUUAAUAUACUGUCCAGGGUUUCCAAAUCGAGAUACUUUGAUUUUAAUGGACCUACUACAUACUAAUGUACAAAGGAUGAUUUAAUCGGGGUAAUUUUGAGAAUUUGAAAUUUUGAGACAUUUCUUUUUUCAUCUCCAUUUUUACAUAGAUGAUACUUCUAAAUUUCGAAAUUUGUAUCUAUUUAAAUCCUACAUUUCUUGAAUCCUAAUUUUAAUCCGAAUUACAUCCAUAAAUCACUACAACUAACUAUAUAUCCUGUCUAAUUUGAGAGAAAGAUGAGAGAGAAAACUUGUAGUUGAGUUAAAUAUAAUAAGUAAAUGGUAAAGGCCUUCACAGGAAUCAAUUCUGACGAUCAUAAUUUUAAUCGAUUAUCCCAAAAUAAUUGUUCCUUUGAAUAAUUAUAAAUAAAAUAAUCGAUUUAGAUUAUACUCGUCAGAAUCGAUUCCUGUGAAAGAAAACCCUUAGUGAAAGAUAUUCGUAGACUGGAAGGUAUGCUGGUGACUGACUGACUGAGUGCCAUUUACAGUUUUUACGUAUACUUUGAUUGGUUGAUGGAUGGUGCGUUUUUUUCAUAAGUAAGUGCGGAGUAGUAAUUAAAAAUAUAAGAUUGUUUUUAGACUUUACAUACACAAGUAAUUCACAGAUUUACCUUUAAGAGAGAACCAGAAAUGAUCGCGUUUACAGUUUUUCAAAUUGACGCAGAUUCGCGAAUACUCGCGAAUUUGCCAAUUUCUAAACUGUACUGACUUGAUCAUUCCUUCGUCUUAUUUACAAUUUACAUAUUUACAAUCUUAAAUUAUGUAUCUAAUUCAGAUCAAAUUUAUAUUUUGACUGAUCCAGACACGUUUAUACAUAUUUACAUGAUGAAUCACAAUUCACUUUUUUAGAGCCUCCGAGCGUAGUACGAUGAACAAUGAUAAUAAUUAAUUGCUACACGUUAAAUAGUACGAUCAUGAACAUCAGUUAAUAUGUAGUUUUAGUUAGUAUUUAAUGAUGAACACUAACAAUAUAUUGCAUUAUCUAGGCUAAGAAAUUGAGUCGAUUAAGUGAUGUAAAUUAAUACGUCAUUUUUUAACUGUGUAUUUAAAGUGCUGAGCAUUUAGUGUGGUCUAACUACAUAUAUAAUUACUAAUCAACUACACAUGUACAUAUCUACAUA